rnacentral:misc_RNA from 1 species
CGGUAUAAGUCAGUGGUGCAGUAUACGCGUUUAGGAGUGACCAGUUUAUUGUUGCAUCUCGGUAUUUGCUUAGUGUUCGUUUAUAUUUAUACGCAGUUGCGUCUUUCGUUUGUAAUAUAUUCUCUAUUUCGCGCGUGAUUCGUUUAAAAAAAAAAACGGUAGAACUCAUUAAAAUGGGCCGUUCAAGAUCCAGGACGAAAUCUCCUAGCAGGCGGCGUCAUAAGAGUAAGCAUUCGAGGAAACGUUCAAAGUCACGAGAGAAACACUCGAAUAACAAGUACUCUGACAAACCAAAAGAACGCAGUUCGAAGUCAAGGAAACGAUCGCAUUCUGCGUCUUCUAGUUCAGGAUCAGAUGUUUCGGACGAUGUGCACAUUGUCAGUCAUAAGAAACGUUCUUAUAGAGACAGGGAUCGUAAAAUGGACGAAGUAGAGAGGUUGGCAGAAAUGGAGCGACAAAGGAAAAAGAAAGAAUUAUCGAACAAAAUCUUCACCACGAGCGCAGUUGGAAGGCAACGCGAGGUGGAACAAAAAAUGGUAGAAGAAGAAGCAGCCAAACGUAUCGAAGAACUAGUGCAGAAAAGGGUGGAAGAAGAGUUAGAAAAACGUAAGGAAGAGAUAGAAGCCGAAGUACAAAGGAGAGUAGAAGAAGCUAAAAGGGCUAUGGAGCGUCAAAUGAUGGAGGAAAUGGAAUGGAGACAAGCAAAGCUUCGUGAGGAGGAGAAACGAAGAGAGGAGGAAGAGCGGAAGAAGCGCGAGGAACUAGAGAGGAUCAUGGAGGAAAACAACAGAAAAAUAGAAGAAGCUCAGAAGAAACUGGCUGAGGAAAGAUUGGCCAUGGUCGAACAGCAACGUUUGAUGGAAGAGGAAAGGCAGAGAAUGAGAAAAGAACAUGAGAAACGUGUUAAGGAGGAGCAAAAGAAAAUCCUCGGGAAGAACAACUCGAGGCCUAAAUUGUCCUUUACCCUAAAGCCAGUUACGUGAGUCUGUAUCAUUUCGAGCAGUUUUACAUGUGAUUUUUAUACAACUUGUCGAUAUUUGGGAUCAUUUGUAUUCCAAUGGAACAAUUUAAAAGCUGCGCGUACAUAGAGGUACAUCAAUUGAUGCAGCAACAAGAUCCAAAGCUCACGCAAAUCUAUACGAAACGAUCAUCGAAAUUUGGCAACGUUUGAAUUCGUUUGUUCGAUUAUGAUGGUCGAUACACGCGUCACAAUUGAAUAAUUAAUUCUACGCUUUGCCAGGUUUCGAUGUUCGAUACAGAUGGGAUCUUAAUCUUGUUCGAGAGACCAACACCCGUGCCAAAAUACAGACAAGCACCUUCUUCACGCCGGGACAUAAAUAGUACCAGUAUUCAUCCUGACAUAUGUUGAAAAUUAUCUUUCUUUUUUUUUUUUUAAAUACAUACAACGCGUUACCAAGCAGGUAUGCUUGAUCUGUUUCUGGCAGAAAGUGUGGUCUAGUCUAGUUAGUUAGAUAUAUUAAAGAAACACGAAUCGUAUUAAAAGUAUUCGUAUUUCGAGAUCUAUGGCAGUUGGUAACUUUGAGACGGUCAUAUUAUUAACACGACCAAGUAGAUUUUGUAAUUAAACGCAAAUGCAUAAAUGAAUUUUCUACCAAAAUAGAUAGUUAUGAGCAUCUGUAAUACGAAAUACACGAACCAGUUACGAGGCAAUAGUAAACGGAGAACUACUCUCUUUCUUUUGUUUCCUUUUUCUUUUUUAGAAUAUUAACCGAAAAUUAUUACGGAUCGUUCAUACAUUACAGAACUCGUUUGAAUAAGAACAAGAUAAAAUAUUCUUUUUUAAUCGAAACCAAAGUAACAAAUGGUAUAAAAGAAAAUGACACGUUAAAUGGAUCAUUUUGUACGUGUAAAAACGUAUGAAUGCAACCGUGAACGAGUAUGUCUUGUAUGCAAUCGUGUAUAGAUGUGUAUCAAUAUAACGAAAAAAAACACUUGUUCGUAUAGGAUUGUAUACUCGCAACAUUGUUACUUGUAAAAUAAACAUGUUUUUAUUACA